UGGAAUCCAGUGAGUAUUCUCAUUUUUGUAUUGAUAUAGAUAUAUCAAUACAAAAAUGAGAAUACUCACUGGAUUCCAAAAUUCAA
rnacentral:miRNA from 1 species